rnacentral:lncRNA from 1 species
GGACAAACUCCUCAGAGCCUCUAUUUCACCCAGUUCUCAGGCUGUUCCCCAAGGACAGGGCCUAGUCCUGAGUAAACGGCUCAAAGAAAUAGAUUCCUGUGAUGAGGUCUCUGCCUACUUUUCCAUGAAGUUCUGAAGCCACCAACCCUCUGGGCCAUUCCUCGGAGCCAUGCAGGAGCAUGCUCCUCACCCAAUGCUGGCAUCUCCUUUGAGGCCAGGGCCAAGGCCAACCCGCACCCAGGGCCAGCCCCUGAAGGAGAGGGCCAAGCUGGGCAGGCAGCAGCCAUUUCCUCCUUGGUCCCAGGAGUUGGAGAGUGAGGGGCGGUCAAGCAGCACCACCUGCCGUCAGACAGUAACUCCCUCACCAAGAGCCCAGUUCUCUCUUGAGGGCAGAGUGAGGGCAGCAGUUCUCAGGGCCAGAGAAACAGGCGAAGUAGGAACUGAGAAGUCAUGGAGCCUCCAAGGACAGUGAACGUGGGGCUAGCAUGAGCCAGGGCAGCCUGAAAGUGUCACCUUCCCCCAGGGGCAUGGCAGCUGUGUUGGUGUAACUAGCACUCGCUAAGGCUUGCCAUGUGCCCGGCACUGGGCAGCGCUCUGUCACAUGGAUCAGUGUCAUAUCUAGUCCUCACAGCAAGCCUGGGAAGACAUGUUAUGAUCUCCAUUUUAUAGAAAGGAAAAUGGGGGCCUGAGAAGCUGGAAGACUCCCCAUCACGGCAGUCCAUGGGCUGUGCCACUGAGGCAGCGGGAGCUCCCCCGGGCCCCAGCCCUGGGUAGAGAGCACAGGGGCCUGACAGCACUGGCGCCUAGCCAGCAGCCCACGCCCUUCAGAGAGAACUACAGUGAUGUGGAUUCUUUUCUCCCCAGUUCUUGGCCAAUGUCUGCAGUGCCCAGCAGGACACUUCUGCCCCAACAGGGCCACCCACCUCAUCCCGUGCCAGCCAGGCACAUUCAGUCCCCACCCAGGCCAGGAUGAAGCCGCAGACUGCGCUCCCUGCCCAGCAGGCAGGGCCUGCACCCAGUCGGGGCUGCCUCAGCCAGAAGCGGAGUGUGCACCGGGGUAUGUGUGCCUUGUGGGCUCCUCCUGUCUGCACGCUCCCCGCCACGCCUGCCCACCUGGGACCUUCAGCAACCGCACCAACCUCUCCAACCUGUCGCACUGUGAGAUUUGCCCCACCAGACUGGCCUGUCCUAGGGGUACAAAGUGGGGUACCCAGUUCCCCUGCCCAGCGGGCACCUACAGCUCUCAGGCAGGCAACGGCCAGGUGGAAGACUGUCUGCCCUGUCCCCCAGGGGCCUUCUGCCCCAGGGGGGCCCCCAAGCCUGUGCUCUGCCCACGGUAA